AGGAGGCAGCAGUAAGGAAUAUUGGACAAUGGAGGCAACUCUGAUCCAGCCAUGCCGCGUGAAGGAUGAAGGCCCUACGGGUUGUAAACUUCUUUUCUCUUAGAAAAAACUACUGGUUUCGUACCGGUACUGAUUGUACAAGAGGAAUAAGCAUCGGCUAACUUCGUGCCAGCAGCCGCGGUAAUACGAAGGAUGCAAGCGUUAUCCGGAUUCACUGGGUUUAAAGGGUGUGCAGGUGGGGUAAUAAGUCAGUGGUGAAAGCCCCCGACUCAAUCGGGGAACUGCCAUAGAUACUGUUAUUCUUGAGUGUGGUUGAGGCGGAUGGAAUAUGACAUGUAGCGGUGAAAUGCUUAGAUAUGUCAUAGAACACCGAUCGCGAAGGCAGUCCGCCAAACCAUUACUGACACUGAAACACGAAAGUGCGGGGAUCAAACAGGAUUAGAAACCCUAGUAGUCCC
rnacentral:rRNA from 1 species